GCGCGAAAACUUUACAAUGCGGGCAACCGCGAUAAGGGGACCUCGAGUGCUGGGUUACAAACCUGGCUGUUGGGCUGCCUAAAAAGCAGUCUAUAGCAAGGGCCGGGCAAGACCGGUGCCAGCCGCCGCGGUAACACCGGCGGCUCGAGUGGUAACCGCUAUUAUUGGGUCUAAAGGGUCUGUAGCCGGCCGACUAAGUCUCUUGGGAAAUCUGGCAUCUCAAGUGUCAGGCUGCCAGGGGAUACUGGUCGGCUUGGGACCGGGAGAGGUGAGAGGUACCUCGGGGGUAGGGGUGAAAUCUUGUAAUCCUCGAGGGACCACCAGUGGCGAAGGCGUCUCACCAGAACGGAUCCGACGGCAAGGGACGAAAGCUAGGGGCACGAACCGGAUUAGAUACCCGGGUAGUCCUAGCCGUAAACGAUACUCGCUAGGUGUCGGCCACGGUGCGACCGUGGUCGGUGCCGUAGGGAAGCCGUGAAGCGAGCCACCUGGGAAGUACGGCCGCAAGGUUGAAACUUAAAGGAAUUGGCGGGGGAGCACCACAACGGGUGGAGCCUGCGGUUUAAUUGGAUUCAACGCCGGAAAGCUUACCGGGGGCGACAGCAAUAUGAAGGUCAGGCUGAAGACCUUACCGGAUUCGCU
rnacentral:rRNA from 1 species